GGGGGAUAUUGCACAAUGGGGGGGAACCCUGGAUGCAGCGACGCCGCGUGAGUGAAGAAGUAUUUCGGUAUGUAAAGCUCUAUCAGCAGGGAAGAAAAUGACGGUACCUGACUAAGAAGCCCCGGCUAACUAC
rnacentral:rRNA from 1 species